rnacentral:miRNA from 1 species
ACAGGGACGAGGCAGCGCAUG